rnacentral:rRNA from 1 species
UGGGGAAUAUUGCACAAUGGGCGCAAGCCUGAUGCAGCAACGCCGCGUGAACGAUGAAGGUCUUCGGAUCGUAAAGUUCUGUUGCAGGGGAAGAUAAUGACGGUACCCUGUGAGGAAGCCCCGGCUAACUACGUGCCAGCAGCCGCGGUAAUACGUAGGUGGCAAGCGUUGUCCGGAAUUAUUGGGCGUAAAGCGCGCGCAGGUGGUUUAGACAGUCUGAUGUGAAAGCCCACGGCUCAACCGUGGAGGGUCAUUGGAAACUAAUAAACUUGAGUGCAGGAGAGAAAAGUGGAAUUCCUAGUGUAGCGGUGAAAUGCGUAGAGAUUAGGAGGAACACCGGUGGCGAAAGCGGCUUUUUGGCCUGCAACUGACACUGAGGCGCGAAAGCGUGGGGAGCAAACAGG